rnacentral:rRNA from 1 species
GGGGAAUAUUGCACAAUGGGGGAAACCCUGAUGCAGCGACGCCGCGUGAGUGAAGAAGUAUUUCGGUAUGUAAAGCUCUAUCAGCAGGGAAGAAAAUGACGGUACCUGGCUAAGAAGCCCCGGCUAACUAC